rnacentral:rRNA from 1 species
UGGGGGAUCUUGCACAAUGGGCGCAAGCCUGAUGCAGCCAUGCCGCGUGAGUGAAGAAGGCCCUAGGGUUGUAAAACUCUUUCAGCGGGGAAGAUAAUGACGGUACCCGCAGAAGAAGCCCCGGCUAACUCCGUGCCAGCAGCCGCGGUAAUACGGAGGAUGCAAGCGUUAUCCGGAAUGAUUGGGCGUAAAGCGUCUGCAGGUGGCUAUGCAAGUCUGCUGUUAAAGAGUGGAGCUCAACUCCAUAAGGGCAGUGGAAACUGCGUAACUAGAGUACGUUCGGGGUAGAGGGAAUUCCUGGUGUAGCGGUGAAAUGCGUAGAUAUCAGGAAGAACACCGGUGGCGAAAGCGCUCUACUAGGCCGUAACUGACACUGAGAGACGAAAGCUAAGGGAGCGAAUGGGAUUAGAUACCCCCGUAGUCC